rnacentral:rRNA from 1 species
GAACGCUGGCGGCAUGCUUUACACAUGCAAGUCGAACGGCAGCGCGGGGGCAACCCUGGCGGCGAGUGGCGAACGGGUGAGUAAUAUAUCGGAACGUACCCAAGAGUGGGGGAUAACGUAGCGAAAGUUACGCUAAUACCGCAUACGAUCUACGGAUGAAAGCAGGGGACCGCAAGGCCUUGUGCUCGUGGAGCGGCCGAUAUCUGAUUAGCUAGUUGGUAGGGUAAAGGCCUACCAAGGCAUCGAUCAGUAGCUGGUCUGAGAGGACGACCAGCCACACUGGGACUGAGACACGGCCCAGACUCCUACGGGAGGCAGCAGUGGGGAAUUUUGGACAAUGGGCGCAAGCCUGAUCCAGCAAUGCCGCGUGAGUGAAGAAGGCCUUCGGGUUGUAAAGCUCUUUUGUCAGGGAAGAAACGGGUUUGGCUAAUAUCCAGAUCUAAUGACGGUACCUGAGGAAUAAGCACCGGCUAACUACGUGCCAGCAGCCGCGGUAAUACGUAGGGUGCAAGCGUUAAUCGGAAUUACUGGGCGUAAAGCGUGCGCAGGCGGUUUUGUAAGUCUGUCGUGAAAUCCCCGGGCUCAACCUGGGAAUGGCGAUGGAGACUGCAAGGCUAGAGUUUGGCAGAGGGGGGUAGAAUUCCACGUGUAGCAGUGAAAUGCGUAGAGAUGUGGAGGAACACCGAUGGCGAAGGCAGCCCCCUGGGUCAAGACUGACGCUCAUGCACGAAAGCGU